rnacentral:rRNA from 1 species
UACGUAGGUGGCAAGCGUUGUCCGGAUUUACUGGGCGUAAAGAGCGCGCAGGCGGUCGUUCAAGUCGCGUGUGAAAGCCCCCGGCUCAACUGGGGAGGGUCACGGCGAUACUGAUCGACUCGAAGGCAGGAGAGGGUAGUGGAAUUCCCGGUGUAGUGGUGAAAUGCGUAGAUAUCGGGAGGAACACCAGUGGCGAAGGCGACUACCUGGCCUGUUCUUGACGCUGAGGCGCGAAAGCUAGGGGAGCAAACGGGG